CAUUAUUAAGUAUAGAAAAGGGAUGUACAAAGAUUUUUCGUUUUUUUUUUAUUCUGGGAUCAUAAGGAUUUGAAGGAUAUAUAUUAGGAUCCAAUAGAUGGCAGUAAUGCAACAACUAUGGAUGCAAGCUGUCGUUAAAUCCUAAAGAAGAAGAAAAAGAAGAAGAAGAAGAAGAAGAAGAAGAAGACGACGACUUUACUGUGUUUGGAUUUUACUGGUAUGCCGGACAACGUCUCGCGUUCAACUCCUCUAGGACGCGAUCCACAACUUUCAGCCAGUCCGCAGACUGACGAGAAGAAACUGCUGAUUUCUAUCAGUGGACUGUCUCGUCAGCUUACUCAACAUACUGCCGACAUGAAUGAGAGAUGGCGGCUCUGCAGUCGAAGAACUGUGCUGGAGAGACUAACUCCAUCAAGAGAAGACGGAUGCACAAACGCUUGCGGUAAGAAUAUAUUUGACUGCUAGCUAAGCUAAAAGUAGCCUAGCCAUAACCCAAAGCUAAGGGUGUGUUUUUUGUGAUUUACAGUACGCCGUCUUCACAACUCGGAGACAAAUUGCAGGCGCUAUGAACCGGCGCAAGGACUAAGCACGCCUCAUAAUGAGGCAGUUACCUCCUAUCUGCUCGGAGCAAUAACUGCAAGCCUCGAUUUACACUAUAUUGAUAAAGACGACAUUGUGUCCGCCUGUAAGACGUAUUACGAGACGGUACGCAGGAGCUUCAGAUAUACGCAGCCAGAGAACUCAAUGCGGGCGGAAGCUGCCAAGAAUUCAGCUCGGAGUCGAGCGAGAAGAAAGAGGCUGCAGGAAUCGAGGCAGAGCGUGCUAGCUGAUGAGGAAGUGGAACUCUGGAUGUCCGCCACCGUCGACCUCAUGUCUGACGAGGAAGAUGGCGUCGUUGGCGGGGCGCCGUCAUUUCGUAGGCCGGAUC